rnacentral:rRNA from 1 species
UACGAAGGGGGCUAGCGUUGCUCGGAAUGACUGGGCGUAAAGGGCGCGUAGGCGGAUGGCACAGUCAGAUGUGAAAUUCCCGGGCUUAACCUGGGGGCUGCAUUUGAUACGUGUUGUCUUGAGUUCGGAAGAGGGUCGUGGAAUUCCCAGUGUAGAGGUGAAAUUCGUAGAUAUUCGCAAGAACACCGGUGACGAAGGCGGCCAACUGGACCAUUACUGACGCUGAGGCGCGAAAGCGUGGGGAGCAAACAGG